UGAGUUUGAAACGUAAUCGCUGGUAAGAUUUUUUAUCAGAGGAAAGUCCGGGCAUCAUAGAGCAGGAUGCUGGUUAAUGGCCAGAGGGGGCGACCCCAUGGAAAGUGCCACAGAAAAUAUACCGCCGAUGGUCCGGUUCGCCGGACACAGGUAAGGGUGAAAUGGUGGGAGAGUGAAGACUCUUUAAUGUAAGAGCCCACCGCGGGGAUGGUGACAUUCCCGGCAGGGUAAACCCCAUUUGAUGCAAGUCCAAAUAGGGUAGCGUUUAAGGUUGCUCGCCUAGCUAUCGGGUAGGAUGCACGAGGAUACGGGUAACCGUAUUCCUAGAUAAAUGAUUACGACUCCGGUUUUACCGGAGGACAGAACCCGGCUUAAAGAUAACUCAACUU
rnacentral:RNase_P_RNA from 1 species